UACGUAGGUGGCGAGCGUUGUCCGGAAUUACUGGGUGUAAAGGGCGUGUAGGCGGGGAUGUAAGUCAGAUGUGAAAUUCCACAGCUCAACUGUGGCGCUGCAUCUGAAACUAUGUCUCUUGAGUGCUGGAGAGGAAAGCGGAAUUCCUAGUGUAGCGGUGAAAUGCGUAGAUAUUAGGAGGAACACCAGUGGCGAAGGCGGCUUUCUGGACAGUAACUGACGCUGAGGCGCGAAAGCGUGGGGAGCAAACAGG
rnacentral:rRNA from 1 species